GACGAACGCUGGCGGCGUGCUUAACACAUGCAAGUCGAACGGAAAGGCCCUGCUUGCAGGGUACUCGAGUGGCGAACGGGUGAGUAACACGUGGGUGAUCUGCCCUGCACUUCGGGAUAAGCCUGUGAAGCUGGGUCUAAUAACGGAUAGGAGCCAUUUUUAGUGGGAUGGUUGGAAAGUUUUUUCGGUGUAGGAUGAGCUGGCGGCCUAUCAGCUUGUUGGUGGGGUAAUGGCCUACCAAGGCGGCGACGGGUAGCCGGCCUGAGAGGGUGGACGGCCACAUUGGGACUGAGAUACGGCCCAGACUCCUACGGGAGGCAGCAGUGGGGAAUAUUGCACAAUGGGCGCAAGCCUGAUGCAGCGACGCCGCGUGGGGGAUGACGGCCUUAGGGUUGUAAACUACUUUCGCUAGGGACGAAGCUUUUUGUGACGGUACCUAGAUAAGAAGCACCGGCUAACUACGUG
rnacentral:rRNA from 1 species